AGAGAGAGACAUGCGCGCAUAUCAAUAAGGCGGAGGAAAAGAAACUAACAAGGAUUCCCCUAGUAACGGCGAGUGAAGCGGGAAGAGCUCAAAUUUGAAAUCUUAAAGGGUUUCCCUUUACGAAUUGUAGUUUAAAGAAGUGUUUUCUGUUGAGGUUUUGGUAAAAGUUCUUUGGAAUAGGACAUCAUAGAGGGUGAGAAUCCCGUAUUUGACCUUUAGCUUUCAACUUUGUGAUACACUUUCAAAGAGUCGGAUUGUUUGGGAAUGCAGUCCAAAAUGGGUGGUAAAUUUCAUCUAAAGCUAAAUAUUGGCGAGAGACCGAUAGCGAACAAGUACCGUGAGGGAAAGAUGAAAAGAACUUUGAAAAGAGAGUUAAACAGUACGUGAGAUUGUCAAAAGGGAAGCGUUUGACACCAGUGUUGUUUUUCUGAAAAUCAAUUAAAGAACUGUUUAUGCUAAGUUGUUUAGACUUUAUCAGCUAACUGUUUAGUUUUGAGCUUUUCUUUAAUGCACUUUUCAGUUAACAAGUCAACAUCAAUUUCUUUUGCUGUAAAAAAGCUUGAGGAAGGUGGCUUGAGAUUCGUCUUAAGUGUUUAUAGCCUCUUGCCUAUGCAGUCGGAGAGAUUGAGGUCUGCAGCGUAGAUCCUUCGGGGCUAAAUGCAUUUGUGCUAAGUUAUAGCAUUUUAUAGACAACUUGUUGACUAUGAUUUGUCUUGUAGCUUACUCGCUUAUGUUAUUUUACCUACGCUUAGGAUGUUGAGCGCAUGUCUCUCUCU
rnacentral:rRNA from 1 species